rnacentral:lncRNA from 1 species
AUGGCGACGCGGGGCCAUGUGCAGGACCCUAACGACAGGCGCCUCCGGCCCAUUUACGAUUAUCUUGAUAAUGGUAAUAAUAAAAUGGCAAUUCAGCAAGCAGAUAAAUUAUUGAAGAAGCAUAAGGAUCUUCAUUGUGCUAAGGUUUUAAAGGCAAUUGGUUUACAGAGAACUGGAAAGCAAGAAGAAGCCUUUACUUUAGCACAGGAGGUGGCGGCCCUGGAACCCACAGAUGACAAUUCACUGCAGGCGCUCACUAUUCUCUACCGGGAGAUGCAUCGGCCGGAAUUAGUUACGAAACUUUAUGAAGCGGCUGUGAAGAAAGUUCCCAACAGUGAGGAGUAUCACUCUCACCUCUUCAUGGCCUAUGCCAGAGUGGGUGAAUACAAGAAAAUGCAACAGGCUGGCAUGGCUCUGUAUAAGAUUGUCCCCAAAAAUCCUUACUAUUUUUGGUCUGUGAUGAGCUUAAUUAUGCAAUCAAUAUCAGCACAGGAUGAAAACCUCUCAAAAACAAUGUUUCUGCCUCUUGCUGAGAGAAUGGUCGAAAAAAUGGUGAAAGAGGACAAGAUAGAAGCUGAGGCCGAAGUUGAACUUUAUUAUAUGAUCCUGGAACGAUUGGGAAAGUACCAGGAGGCCUUGGAUGUCAUUAGAGGGAAAUUAGGAGAAAAGCUGACAAGUGAGAUUCAGAGUCGGGAAAAUAAAUGCAUGGCUAUGUACAAGAAGCUAAGCAGGUGGCCGGAAUGCAAUGCCCUUUCUCGGCGCCUCUUACUGAAAAACUCAGAUGACUGGCAGUUCUAUCUGACUUAUUUCGAUUCUGUCUUUCGACUGAUUGAAGAGGCCUGGANNNNNNNNNNNNNNNACAGUAAGUCAUCUUCUUUCCUGAAUUAUGACGGCACCUUUUAAAAUGUAGCAAAAUAUUUCAUUGUGAGCCAAUUAAAUUCUCUUUUUCUGUCUUAAUAAUAUAUUCAUUUCAAAGUAAGAUUUUUCUCUUUUUAAAAUUAUAAAAUACAUGCACAUUGUAAAAAUUUUCUUAGUGAUGAAAUAUGUGGUAUGGUCAUCCCCCCAGAUUUAUUUCUUUGCAC